AUUGAACGCUGGCGGCAUGCUUUACACAUGCAAGUCGAACGGCAGCGCGGGCUUCGGCCUGGCGGCGAGUGGCGAACGGGUGAGUAAUGCAUCGGAACGUGCCCAGUAGUGGGGGAUAGCCCGGCGAAAGCCGGAUUAAUACCGCAUACGACCUGAGGGUGAAAGCGGGGGACCGAAAGGCCUCGCGCUAUUGGAGCGGCCGAUGUCGGAUUAGCUAGUUGGUGGGGUAAAGGCUUACCAAGGCGACGAUCCGUAGCUGGUCUGAGAGGACGACCAGCCACACUGGGACUGAGACACGGCCCAGACUCCUACGGGAGGCGGCAGUGGGGAAUUUUGGACAAUGGGGGCAACCCUGAUCCAGCCAUGUCGCGUGCGGGAAGAAGGCCUUCGGGUUGUAAACCGCUUUUGUUCGGGAAGAAAUCCUCUGGGCUAAUACCCCGGGGGGAUGACGGUACCGGAAGAAUAAGCACCGGCUAACUACGUG
rnacentral:rRNA from 1 species